UGUCAUGACACUUUUGGAAUUUUAGAUUCUCUCCGACUCUAGUUUUUAUUGGUGAUUGUUAGUUCUCAGGGACUAGAGUCACCCUAUGAGGAAGUACCAGCGCAUCAUGUACUGGUUCCCCAAGUUCAAGCACGCCUUCCCGUCCCCCUGCAGCUCCCUGGGGACCCUGUAGACUUGGCCCGCCUCAGUCUCCACCGCAUCGCUAACGACCUGGGCGCUAAGGUCACGGUCUGCCAGAUGCCUUGUACUGACAUCUCAGAGUCAGGGGAGGAGAUCACCUUCCCACACUACCUAGGGAUCCAGCCCAGCCCAGAUGGAGCUGCUGGCUAAACAUAACCCCAACAGGCCUGUGUUUGUGGAGGGCCCCUUCCCCCAGUGGCUGAGGAAGACAUAUUCAGGGCUGAUCAACUGCCCCCUGAGGAAAAGGUGGAGGAGCCAUACGAUCCAGAGAGGUGUUUCGACUACCCUGUUCAGCUGGACCUGGACUUCGAAUGACUACCUCCUCUCUUUACCCCACACGUACAAUUAUCUGUAAGGUCCGUCAGUCGAGCAGUGAAUUUCAAACACAGAUUCAACCACAAAGACCAGGGAGGUUUUCCAAUGCCUCCCAAAGAAGGGCACCUAUUGGAAGAUGGGUCAAUACAAAGAUACAAAUUAUUAAAGAAAUUGAAUUCUACAGUGAAAAAGUACAAAAUCAA